UGAUAACACAGAUCUGUGUAAAAAAAUUACACAGGUUGUUGAACAUGUUCUAGCUGUCAAAACUGUGUAAAUUUUCAACACAGAUCUGUGUAAAAAGUUACACAGAUUUUCGAUCAGCUUCCCUCUUAAAUCUGGGUAAAAAGUGUUGGCAUUUUUUCAGCAGUCAGAGCAACCAGCAGUUAGCAAAGAUGAUAGCGGACCUGUUGCACUGGAAUCGAUGCCGUAUCCAAGGAAUUGUUAGUUGGUCAAGAGUCGGCGGAUGAUGCGUUGAUUGAAUGAAUGAUGUCAAUGAAGCCAAAUUCCUGCGUCCGAAAGCCUAGAUGUGCAGGCCCUGAAGUGGAACGCUCUGCCAGGAACGUAUACAUCACUCCAAGAAAACUAGAUCACUUUCCGGGACCAAACUAGCUCCAACAUCGUCCAAUAUGAUAUCUACCGAAAGAUGUAAAAUAAUUCAGCGACAGACACUGUUGAACAUCAAUAAACAUCAAUCUUGUUUUAUUUUGAUUUAAUUAAAGUAUUUAAAACGUUUUUUAUUAAUCUAGAAGUUAAAAAUGUGCCUGAAAUAAUUUACCCAGAUCUGUGUAAAAUUUUACACAGGUCACUGGUUGAAAAAUUACACAGAUUUGACAGACAACGGCUGUACACACUUCUGUGUACAAGCCUUUUACACAGAUUCUGUGUAUUCCCGGUUUUGGGCGAUCUGUGUCAAAUUUUACACAGAUCUGUGUUAUGUGGAUUUUGCGUGUAUG